rnacentral:misc_RNA from 1 species
GAUGAAGAACGUAGCGAAAUGCGAUAAGUAAUGUGAAUUGCAGAAUUCAGUGAAUCAUCGAAUCUUUGAACGCACCUUGCGCCUUUUGGUAUUCCGAAAGGCACACCUGUUUGAGCGUCAUGAAUACCUCAAUCUCCAUCUUUUCUUCGGAUUGAUGGGUGACUUGGAUGUUGAGCCCUGCUGGUAUGCUAUAUCAGCUGGCUUUAAACUUAUUAGCCGGCUCUGUACUGGAUCGGUUUGACUCGACGUGAUAAUAUUAUCGUUGAGGAUGCAUGUCUCAUGCAGCCCCCACCCCCCCCCCCCCCCCCCCCCCUGCCUUUAGUGCACUUUUACAUUUUAGACCUCAGAUCAGGUGGGACUACCCGCUGAACUUAAGCAUAUCAAUAAGCGGAGGA